UACGUAGGGUGCGAGCGUUUAAUCGGAAUUACUGGGCGUAAAGCGUGCGCAGGCGGUUUGCUAAGACCGAUGUGAAAUCCCCGGGCUUAACCUGGGAACUGCAUUGGUGACUGGCAGGCCAGAGUAUGGCAGAGGGGGGUAGAAUUCCACGUGUAGCAGUGAAAUGCGUAGAGAUGUGGAGGAAUACCGAUGGCGAAGGCAGCCCCCUGGGCCAAUACUGACGCUCAUGCACGAAAGGCGUGGGGA
rnacentral:rRNA from 1 species